GGGCCCGCCGCCGCGGAGACGGCGAUUGGUCCAGCUGUAUGGUGCCACUGGCCGCCGGCUCCGCCCCAGCUCCCGCCUC
rnacentral:pre_miRNA from 1 species